CGUCCCGCAUCCCGCGUCCCGCAUCCCGCGUGGGGACCCCGCGGCUCCCGCGGCACCGCAGGGAAGCGGCGCGCUGAGGUGGGAGAGCGCCAGGCGUCCAGGGGAGGUCAGAGAUGCUCAAAUAAAGAACCGCAGAAUCGUCAGGGACCUCUUGGAGAUCGUCCGGUCCGACCUCACUGCCAAAGCAGGGUCACUUGGAGCAGUUUAUGGCCACUGCUCCUUGUCCUGUCGCUGGGCACCACCGAAAAGAGUCUGGCACCGAAAAGAGUCCUCUUGGCACCCGCCUGUGAGAUAUUUAUAUGCAUCUCAAACGCAGACCCCCAUGCCUUUGGUGUCCUUCUCCAACUCAGCAAGGGGACAGUGGAGUGCUUCUGUGCCUUGUUAUGGAAGCUGUUUUCUCAGGAAAGUAAUGCCUGUCAGUUUUAUGGCACCAUGCACACAGAUUUUCACUGGCAAAACCAUAUUUUUCUGUUCACGGAGGCAGAGUUUUUAAUGAGAAUUACUUAACUGAAAAACUGGAGAUGGAGGUGAAGCUUCUUUGAAGAUUGGCUUGUAAAAGCUAUCACAGACUGCUCCCGCCAGGAAGUGCUAUCAUGUGAACUAGAAAGACUCCAGCAAGCCUACAUCCUUUUCAUGACUUACAGUUUUAGUAUUGUCCAAUAAUCCAGGCAGAUAUGUUUUCGUCUAAGGACCUUUUUCCUUCACCAUGAUGAAAAUGUUGAAAUAAAGAACAGUUUGUUUGCCAGAUCAUUGGCAAGAUUCUAUUUGAAGUCAUUUCUGUCUUCGAGUUUCUAGCAAUUAAUUAUUUGUCACUGCAUUGGAAAUCACUACCAGAAAGGUGCACAUAAACAACAUCGAGACAUUCCAAAAGAGGGAAUAUUUUCAACUCUAGGUUGACAACUAUGAAGUUGACCAGUUUUGGUUUUUCUCUGCAGAGAGCCCGAUGCUGUUUCCAAAGACGCAUGGUGCUUUUACAGUGAAAAAUGUAUGAUUGCUAUGCCUCUAUAAAUUGUGCUUCCAAUAAAAGUGACCAUAAAAGAACA